AGGGAGCGUGGUCACCACCCUAUACCCUACUUUUAGGCUCAGUGCCAGUGGAUCCCCUGGGUGUAUCCCCCAACUGGUCAAUCUGCAGCCUAGAAGGGAUGUUCUAGACUUGAAGUUCUGGGAGAGGAAAAAAUUCCCCUUCUCAGGACUUGCUUCCUACAGGAAGCAACGAACCAGGAGAGGAAAAUGUUAGUAUCUGAAACAGUCCUCACAGUCUGAUCAUGAGAGCAGAAAGAUCUCUUCAGAGUGUGCUGGGAGCAGAGCCUAAGCAAGCAACCAUUUUAUAGUCUGGCUGACUUGGUGCUGUAGCUGUGAUCUAACAAAGAGCAGGAGGCUGCCAGCAACUCCGGGGAACUCGGCGUUUGCCCUGCUCGCCGGCUCAGCCAAUCCAGGGGCCGGAGCAGACAGGGUACCACUCCUCGGACACAGAGCAUCUCUAUUCUGAUGGAACGCUCUGCCAGCACCCUGUGCGUCAAGCCCGAGGAGGAAGGACAUCAAGACUCUCCCCUUGUCACUGCUUCCAGAUCUUCUUCGGGGGACAGUGCCGAAAGCCCCACCUCCAGCUCGGCCUGCAAGCGGCAGACAGGACAGAUUGAUGACUUCAGCCCUCAUCCCUGCAUUUGAAUUGUAGAUGCCCUGAGCAGGGUCUCCCCACGGUCAUGUGCAAAGUGCCCGUUGUCCGGGCUGCAUAUAGCUCCUUGGGAAACUCAAGGUGCCGUAUAAAGACAAAAGUUAUUUAUUUGGGGACCAGAUUACCACAAAUUAAUUCCUGGACGGAAUCCAACAGAGCCUGUGCAGGAGAGUGGGAGGAGGGACGGGAGCAUCAAUUACUCCCCGUCUGCCGCGUUACUGGGAGGACACGCGCUAUAUUUAGCCAAACGGGCGCAUCCUAGGAGACUGGUAUAUUACCGCGCAGCCCAGAAGCUGCCGGGUCUGGUUGGGAAACGUGCACCAAAGUGCAACCAUCUCAGCUAGACUGGAGAGAUGAAUAGCCCUCUGGGGGAUUUUAUUGGGUACUACUCACCAGUCAUAUCACUAGGCAGAAUCCGUUUGUUUUCCCUGUUAGGAGAUCUGUUGAAAGCAUUACAAUAAAAGUUAUUUAAGUCACAUAGUCUUUAAUCUUCCAGCAAAAUAUUGUGCCCAUGCCAGCAAUGAAUCAUAUUGUAUUGUUAUGCCUUUUUAUAGUCUGAUAAUCUGUAUUGUGUGUUUAUAACCCUUGUAUGCUGUAUUUUAUGGGGGGAAAAAUUCCUACAACCAGCAAUCCACAACCCAUGAAUUUACCACCUUAACUAUUUGGGUUGAUGGUGAGUCAUGGAACAAAGAUUCAAAUUCAUAGAAUGAAAA